UAGGGAAUCUUCGGCAAUGGACGAAAGUCUGACCGAGCAACGCCGCGUGAGUGAAGAAGGUUUUCGGAUCGUAAAACUCUGUUGUUAGAGAAGAACAAGGACGUUAGUAACUGAACGUCCCCUGACGGUAUCUAACCAGAAAGCCACGGCUAACUACGUGCCAGCAGCCGCGGUAAUACGUAGGUGGCAAGCGUUGUCCGGAUUUAUUGGGCGUAAAGCGAGCGCAGGCGGUUUCUUAAGUCUGAUGUGAAAGCCCCCGGCUCAACCGGGGAGGGUCGUUGGAAACUGGGAGACUUGAGUGCAGAAGAGGAGAGUGGAAUUCCAUGUGUAGCGGUGAAAUGCGUAGAUAUAUGGGGGAACACCAGUGGCGAAGGCGGCUCUCUGGUCUGUAACUGACGCUGAGGCUCGAAAGCGUGGGGAGCAAACAGG
rnacentral:rRNA from 2 species